UGGCGGCAUGCUUAACACAUGCAAGUCGAACGAGAAUCUGUGGAUCAAGGAUUCGUCCAAGAGAAGCAGAGGACAGUGGCGGACGGGUGAGUAACGCGUGAGGAACCUGCCUUUCAGAGGGGGACAACAGUUGGAAACGACUGCUAAUACCGCAUAACGCGUAGAGGUCGCAUGGUCUUUACGCCAAAGAUUUAUCGCUGAAAGAUGGCCUCGCGUCUGAUUAGCUAGUUGGUGAGGUAACGGCCCACCAAGGCGACGAUCAGUAGCCGGACUGAGAGGUUGAACGGCCACAUUGGGACUGAGAUACGGCCCAGACUCCUACGGGAGGCAGCAGGUGGGGAAUAUUGGGCAAUGGGCGCAAGCCUGACCCAGCAAUGCCGCGUGAAGGAAGAAGGCUUUCGGGUUGUAAACUUCUUUUGUCAGGGACGAGCAGAAGACGGUACCUGACGAAUAAGCCACGGCUAACUACGUG
rnacentral:rRNA from 1 species